rnacentral:lncRNA from 1 species
AGAAACUGGCUGGAUAGCCGGGCCCAACGAGUCGUGGUGAAUGGAGUCAAGUCCAGUUGGAGGCCAGUCACUAGUCACGUCUCCCAGGGCUUGGUGCUGGGGCCGGUCCUCUUUAAUAUCUUCAUCGAUGAUCUGGACGAGGGCACUGAGUGCACCCUCAGUAAGUUUGCAGAUGAAGUAAGUUUAACAGUGUGACCAGCAGGGCUAGGGAGGUGAUCUAGGGAGGAGACUGUACGUGAUUGUGGUCACCUUCCUGGUGGCCGCCAACAUGACCUUCCAGCCUACCAAGCUCAUCCAGCUCAAAAGCACAACAGGUGAGCUGUUCAAGCAUGGCAGGGAUGGAGAUCAAUAGAAAACAGGUGUGGGGAGGUGUUCUUUUGUGCAAAAUCUCAUCCUUCGUGUGCCAAUUCAUGCCGGUGGGUCCCCAGCAGAUUGUGGUCUAAAGGAACCCCCAUCCACCUCUGGCAGCACACGCUGACGUCUCUGUGGGUGAAGCCACGCUGAACGUGGUCCCACUGGGCAGCUCCUGACAUGCAGAAGGAGCCUGAUUCCUGUUGUUUUCAUUCCAAAAAGCAAGGAAACACUUGAACCAGUUAUAAACCAUUUUUAUAAUGUUCCCAUAAUGUUACCAUUUUUUUCUUAAAAAGCACUAAGGGAGGACAGAAAUCAGACUUGCACAAUGGGUUUCAAGAAGUCAGUUGGGGCCUUUCCAAGAAGAGCAUAAGAGCAGCUUAAUUUGUCCUUUGGCUUUUGCUUAGGAGUAACCCACCCUGCUCUGGCUUCUCUCCUGUUUCCAGACCUGCUGCUGCUUUUCCAGGUGUCCUGUAUUGCAGCAGAAAUGACAGAGCUCUGGGCAGAGGAAGGAUCCUCUGUCACGAUGCACGCACCGGCUAUCAGGAACAUCAGCUUGGUCGAGUGGGAAUACAUAAGAGAGAACAUCCCCGAAUUAAUCCUGCAGUACUACGCAGAGUCACAAAGCUGCAAGAGAUGGACAGUGGCAUCUAUAGAGCAACAGU